rnacentral:rRNA from 1 species
UGGCCAGACUCCUACGGGAGGCAGCAGUGAGGAAUAUUGGUCAAUGGUCGGGAGACUGAACCAGCCAAGCCGCGUGAGGGAGGAAGGUACAGAGUAUCGUAAACCUCUUUUGUCAGGGAACAAAGGCGGGGACGUGUCCCCGGAUGAGUGUACCUGAAGAAAAAGCAUCGGCUAACUACGUGCCAGCAGCCGCGGUAAUACGUAGGGAGCGAGCGUUGUCCGGAAUUACUGGGUGUAAAGGGAGCGUAGGCGGGCGAGAAAGUUGAAUGUUAAAUCUACCGGCUUAACUGGUAGCUGCGUUCAAAACUUCUUGUCUUGAGUGAAGUAGAGGCAGGCGGAAUUCCUAGUGUAGCGGUGAAAUGCGUAGAUAUUAGGAGGAACACCAGUGGCGAAGGCGGCCUGCUGGGCUUUAACUGACGCUGAGGCUCGAAAGCGUGGGGAGCAAACAGGAUUAGAUACCCCUGUAGA